GAUGAACGCUGGCGGCGUGCCUAAUACAUGCAAGUCGAGCGAACGGACGAGAAGCUUUCUUCUCUGAGGUUCGCGGCGGACGGGUGAGUAACACGUGGGGAACCUACCUAUAAGACUGGGAUAACUUCGGGAAACCGGAGCUAAUACCCGCUGAUCUUUUGAACCGCAUGGUUCAAAAGUGAAAGACGGUCUUGCUGUCACUUAUCGAUGGAUCCGUGCUGCAUUAGCUAGUUGGUAAGGUAGCGGCUUACCAAGGCCACGAUGCAUAGCCGACCUGAGAGGGUGAUCGGCCACACUGGAACUGAGACACGGUCCAGACUCCUACGGGAGGCAGCAGUAGGGAAUCUUCCGCAAUGGGCGAAAGCCUGACGGAGCAACGCCGCGUGAGUGAUGAAGGUCUUCGGAUCGUAAAACUCUGUUAUUAGGGAAGAACAUAUGUGUAAGUAACUGUGCACAUCUUGACGGUACCUAAUCAGAAAGCCACGGCUAACUACGUG
rnacentral:rRNA from 1 species